rnacentral:rRNA from 1 species
CUAUGCCUACGGGACGCAGCAGUAGGGAAUCUUCCACAAUGGGCGAAAGCCUGAUGGAGCAACGCCGCGUGGGUGAAGAAGGUCUUCGGAUCGUAAUACCCUGUUGUUAGGGAAGAAAGUGCGUGAGAGUAACUGUUCACGUUUCGACGGUAUCUAACCAGAAAGCCACGGCUAACUACGUGCCAGCAGCCGCGGUAAUACGUAGGUGGCAAGCGUUAUCCGGAUUUAUUGGGCGUAAAGGGAACGCAGGCGGUCUUUUAAGUCUGAUGUGAAAUCCUUCGGCUUAACCGGAGUAGUGGGUUGGG